GUGGGAUAAUAAAAUCUUGCUGAAUUUUUUGGAAUUUUAGUUUUCACUCUUUUGAGUACUAUAUUAUGAUUUAUAUAAUGUGACACAGUAAAUAAAAUAAAACUAGCAAUUCAAGCUUUGCUAAUAACAAAAUAAAUUCUGGAAAUGCAUUUUUAUUUUUAUUUUUUUCCCUUUCAUAAGCCUAGCAUUGCAACUUUUCACAUAAUGACAAGCUUAAGUUUUGACCCUGUAAAAUUUUAAUGAUAAAACUUUUUUUCUAAACUAUACAUUACAAUAAAUAAAAAGAUUUAACACAAUGAAUGGUCUUCAACAGUCUACUCAUAUUUUACAAAAUAUAUUUCAUAAAUCUGUUAAAAACUUUUUGCAGAAAUCGAUUAAUUCUAUUAAUUAGAAUAUUUAUGUUAAUGCAGCUUAAACAAGAAGUCUAUGUUUACAUAUGAAAAUUAAAACACUGCUAUUAUAGGUUUUAGAAACUCUGCUAAUCUAAUAUAUAAAUGACUGCAAUGAAUGCAACAAAAAUGGCACUAAAAUACAUUAAACCUCAAUAUGUAUUGUUUGUGGGUUUUUUUAUAAAUAAAUUUCUUGAUUCCCUAUAUUUCAGAGCUUUUUGGCACUACCAUUUCAGCUUGUUAUAAACCUUUUUUUAACUUUUGAAAUGAAAAUUUUGGUUCUUGGGGGUCCAAAAUUUAAUCCGACGAAAAUAACCUUCAAACAAAAUAUCUUGAACACAUUUUGUCAGAAAGAUCUUUUUUUUCAUAUAUGAUAGGAUUAUAAAAUCAUUGUAUUUCAAACAGGUAUCAUAACUAUGGACUGAAGAGCAAUAUCAAUAUAAACCCAUUUUGUAAAUCAAACUGAUUAAAUAUCUACAAAAUAUUUGACAUUUCAC
rnacentral:lncRNA from 1 species